rnacentral:misc_RNA from 1 species
CUAAUUCACUCUCUUUAGCAAAUUCACUGCAAUCCAAUGACGAAGGAAGCCGAUUUCUCUUCUGUGGUUCGCCUCAAUAUCGGAGGGAAAAAAUUUUGCACAACUGUUGGUACUUUGACGCAGCGUGAGCCUGAUUCAAUGCUUGCUGCGAUGUUCAGUGGUCGGCAUACAGUGUGCGAGGACCCUGAGAAGGGAUAUGUCUUUGUUGAUAGGGACGGAAAGCAUUUCAGGCAUAUUCUGAAUUGGUUGAGAGAUGGUGUGGUUCCCACACUUACUGAUGCUGAAUAUUCAGAGCUCAUGAGGGAGGCAGAAUACUAUCAGCUACUUGGGCUCAUUGAGGGAAUUAAUUCAGUUUUGACUAAGAGGAAGGAAAGUGAUGAACUAGAUACUGAAUUGACACGGACAGAUAUCAUCAAGUGUAUACAAUCUGAGAGAGUCCGAUUUC